rnacentral:rRNA from 1 species
CCUACGGGAGGCAGCAGUAGGGAAUAUUGGUCAAUGGGCGCAAGCCUGAACGAGCGAUGCCGCGUGAGUGAAGAAGGCCUUCGGGUCGUAAAGCUCUGUUGUGGGGGAAAAAAGGCAGCAUCAGGAAAUGGGUGCUGACUGAUGGUGCCACGCCAGAAAGUCACGGCUAACUACGUGCCAGCAGCCGCGGUAAUACGUAGGUGGCGAGCGUUAUCCGGAAUGAUUGGGCGUAAAGGGUGAGCAGGCGGUCCUGCAAGUCUGGAGUGAAACGCAUGAGCUCAACUCAUGCAUGGCUUUGGACACUGGAGGACUGGAGAGCAGGAGAGGGCGGUGGAACUCCAUGUGUAGCGGUGAAAUGCGUAGAUAUCUGGAAGAACACCAGUGGCGAAGGCGGCCGCCUGGCCUGUUGCUGACGCUGAGGCACGAAAGCGUGGGGAGCAAAUAGGAUUAGAUACCCUAGUAGUC